UGUAGUCUAUUAAGUGUGUGAAAGCAUUGUGUCUAAAAACCAAUAUACAUACUUCAAUUUUAAAAUACUUUUAUUGUUAACAAGAUGCUAAUCAUCAUCUGAUCCUUCAGCAAAUCAUAAUCUUUUUGCUGGUGAAAGGUCCUACUUCAAUAUUGAUGGCUGCUGGUCGGGGCGGUGGUUGCUGACGGCUGGGGUGGCUGUGGCAAUUUCUUAAAACAAGGCAACAGUGAAGUUUGCUGCAUCAGUUGAGUCUUUCCUUCAUGAAAGAAUUCUCUGUAGCAUGCACUGCUGUUUGAUAGCAUCUUACCAACAGUAGAAUUUCUUUCAAAAUUGGAGUCAGUCCUCUCAGAUCCUGCCAUUGCCUUGUCAUCC